rnacentral:rRNA from 1 species
UACGUAGGGAGCAAGCGUUGUCCGGAAUCAUUGGGCGUAAAGAGCGUGUAGGCGGUUCGGUAAGUCCGCUGUGAAAGUCAAGGGCUCAACCCUUGAAAGCCGGUGGAUACUGUCGAACUAGAGUCCGGAAGAGGCGAGUGGAAUUCCUGGUGUAGCGGUGAAAUGCGCAGAUAUCAGGAGGAACACCGAUGGCGAAGGCAGCUCGCUGGGACGGUACUGACGCUGAGACGCGAAAGCGUGGGGAGCAAACAGG